UACGUAGGGUGCAAGCGUUGUCCGGAAUUAUUGGGCGUAAAGAGCUCGUAGGCGGCUAGUCACGUCGGAUGUGAAAACCCGAGGCUCAACCUCGGGCCUGCAUUCGAUACGGGCUGGCUAGAGUACUGCAGGGGAGACUGGAAUUCCUGGUGUAGCGGUGAAAUGCGCAGAUAUCAGGAGGAACACCGGUGGCGAAGGCGGGUCUCUGGGCAGUAACUGACGCUGAGGAGCGAAAGCGUGGGGAGCGAACGGG
rnacentral:rRNA from 1 species